rnacentral:rRNA from 1 species
UACGAAGGGGGCUAGCGUUGCUCGGAAUCACUGGGCGUAAAGGGUGCGUAGGCGGGUCUUUAAGUCAGGGGUGAAAUCCUGGAGCUCAACUCCAGAACUGCCUUUGAUACUGAAGAUCUUGAGUGCGGGAGAGGUGAGUGGAACUGCGAGUGUAGAGGUGAAAUUCGUAGAUAUUGGGAAGAACACCGGUGGCGAAGGCGGCCAUCUGGACCGCAACUGACUCUGAGGCACGAAAGCGUGGGGAUCAAACAGG